rnacentral:lncRNA from 1 species
UCUUGCCAUGUUUGGAUAAUCCUUGACUAGGUAUUUAACCUAGAUAAAACUCUAUCAUAUCUCUCUAUUUAAAAUAAAUUUCUUCAUAAAAUUUUUUUAAAAAAUAGAGAAAAGAAAGACCUUUAGGGCAUGCAAAAAUCAAGGAGAAAGAAGGUUGGGGCAUGGAGAUACAAUAGACACAAGACUAGGUGUCUUGGUGAGAGCAAAGAGAAGAAGAAGAGGGUCUUCUUCUAGGGUUGUUGUGUUCACCUCUUCCCUUCCUCCAUCUUGAGUUUUCUGAGAGUAUCUCAGAUCUAAAACUCCUUCUCCUACUUUUCAUCUUUGGAAGAGUCCUAAUCAAGA